CUGAGCUGUGACUCUCUGGAUUUCAGGAGAUUAGUGAUAACACUGAGGACCUGAGAUUCACUGAGUACUGGAAAUGAGGAGUUGAAUAGCAGUUUGCUUGCCACCACUGCUGUUGUUUGAAUUGAUGCAAUUGUAGCAGCUGAGUUUAUAGGAACACUUGUUGUAGCUCCAGACGUACUCAUUGGAGUCACACUUGUAAUUGCCGAAAUACCAGUAGCUGACAUUGACAAUGGGAUAGUGGUUUCUUGAGUUGCAAUUAUUAUGGUUGGUGCAGUGGUUGCUAAAGACACAGUUUUUGUGCUUUGAGAUACAAAUGCAGUUGGAGCUGGAUUUUGUGUUUCUGAAAGACUAGUCAGAGUCACUGCAUUUGUUGUUGCAUUUAGCAAAGAUGUGGUUGUUAGAAAUGAUUUUGUAAAUUCUGACAACAUUGGUAUGGUUGUGGGUGUAACAAAUGUUGUUUCUGCAGCAGUUAUGUUUUUUGUGAAAAGUGGUAUUGUGGUUGGAGAUACGGUUGUUGUGCUUGGUGAUACAAGAGAAGUUGAAGAUAUUGAAGGAAGUGUUGAGGUAAGGACACCAUUUUCUGUUGCUGGAGGUGCAAUUGUAGGUCCUGAGAAAACAUGCAAGGAAGUGGGUGCCACAUCUGUGGUUGUAUAAGCUUUAGUGACUGAGGAGGGUGUUGGAGCAGCACUUAUUGUUCUUAUCGGUGGACUUGUAUUUGCUGAGGAGAAAGGUGUGGAUGUGGGGUACAGGUCUGUAAUUGUAGAAGCGUCAGUUGUUGAAGUUACUGCUGUUGUUGGUGGUGCAGUAUUUGUUGUAGGUUCUGGAAAUACAGACAUGGUUGUAGGAUUCACAGCUGUGGUUGUAGAAGCUUCCCUUGUUGAAGACCGUGCUGUUGUUGCUAGAGCCACAUUUUCUGUUGCUGGAGGUGCAGUUGUAGGUUCUGGGAACACAGGCAUGGUUGUGGGGUUUAUUGCUUUGGUUGUUAAAGUUUCAUUUGUUGUUGACAAUGGUGUUGUUGGAGCAGCUUUUGCUGUUAUUUUGGUUUCUGAUUGGGUUCACAGCUUGGGUAGCAGAAGCGUUAGUUGUCAAAGACAAUGGAGUUGUUGUUGAAGCAGCAUUUUCUGUUGCUGGAGGUGCAGAGAACACAGGCAUGGUGGUGGGGUUCCCAGCUGUGGUUGUAUAAGCUUCCGUUGUUAUUGCUGAAGAUGGUGUCUUUGUUGGAGCAGCAUUUUCUGUGGUUGUGGGGCUAUCAGUUGUGGUUUUAUAACCUUCAGUGGUCAAAUGUUGUGCUGUUUCAGCAUUUGUUGUUGUUGUAGGUGCAGUUGCUGAGGAUAUAAGAGUGGUUGUGGGGUUCACAGCUUUGGUAGUAGAAGCUUCAGUUGUCGAAGGCCGUGGAGUUGUUGUUGGAGCAACAUUUUCUGUCACUGGAUGUAGAGAGAAUACAGGCAUGGUUGUGGGGUUUCUGGCUGCGAUUGUUGAAGCUUCAGUUGUUGAAGAUUGUGCAGUUGCAGUUGGUGAAGAUAUGAUUGUGGUUGUGGGGGUCACAGCUGUGGUUGUAUAAGCUUCACUUUUAAUUGUUGACAAGGGUGUCUCUGUUGGAGCAGCAUUUUCUGUUGCUGUAGGUACUGAGAAUACAGGCGUUAUUGUGGGAUUCACUGCUGUGGUGGUUGUAGCUUUAUUUGUUGUUGACAAUGGUGUUGUUGGAGAAGUUGUUGUUUUAGAUUCUGAAGAAAUAAGAGUGGUUGUGGGGUUCACAGCUGUGGUUGUAUAACCUUCAGUGGUCAAAGAUUGUGCUGUAGCAGCAUUUGUUGUUGUUGUAGGUGCAGUUGCUGAGGAUAUAAGAGUGGUUGUGGGGUUCACAGCUUUGGUAGUAGAAGCUUCAGUUGUCGAAGGCCGUGGAGUUGUUGUUGGAGCAACAUUUUCUGUCACUGGAUGUAGAGAGAAUACAGGCAUGGUUGUGGGGUUUCUGGCUGCGAUUGUUGAAGCUUCAGUUGUUGAAGAUUGUGCAGUCGCAGUUGGUGAAGAUAUGAUUGUGGUUGUGGGGGUCACAGCUGUGGUUGUAUAAGCUUCACUUUUAAUUGUUGACAAGGGUGUCUCUGUUGGAGCAGCAUUUUCUGUUGCUGCAGGUACUGAGAAUACAGGCGUUAUUGUGGGAUUCACUGCUGUGGUGGUUGUAGCUUUAUUUGUUGUUGACAAUGAUGUUGUUGGAGAAGCUGUUGUUUUAGAUUCUGAAGAAAUAAGAGUGGUUGUGGGGUUCACAGCAGUGGUUGUAUAACCUUCAGUGGUCAAAGAUUGUGCUGUAGCAGCAUUUGUUGUUGUUGUAGGUGCAGUUGCUGAUGAUAUAAGAGUUUUUGUGGGGUUCACAGCUUUGGUAGUAGAAGCUUCAGCUGUCGAAGACAGUGGAAUUAUUGUUGGAGCAGAAUUUUCUUUUGAUGUAGGUAUUGAGAAUACAGGCAUAGUUGUGGGAUUCACUGCUGUGGUGGUUAAAGCUUCAUUUGUUUUUGAAAAUGUUGUUGUUUGAGCAGUAUUUGCCGUGGUUGUAGUUUCUAAGAAUAUAACAGUGGUUGUGGAGGUCACAGCUGUGGUUGUAUAACCUUCAAUGGUUGAGGAUGGUGUUGAAGCAGCAGUUGUUCUAGGAGCAGUUAUUGAGGAUAUAAGAGUGUUUGUGGGGGACACAGCUGUAGAAGCUUCAGUUGUCGAAAACAGUGCAACUUCAUCUGUUGCUGUAGAUGCAAAGAAUACAGGCAUGGUUGUGGGGUUCAGAUCUGCAGUUGUUGAAACUUCAGUUGUUAAAGAUGGUGCUGUUGUUGUUGUUGAAGCAGCAUUUGUUACUGUUGAAGGUGCAGUUGUACUUGGUGAAGACAUGAGUGUGGUUGUGGAAGCCUCAGUUUCUGUAGAUGGUGCUGUUGUUGUUGUACUUCGUGAUGAUAUGAGAGUGGUUGUGGGGGUCACCUCUGUAGUUGUGGAAGCUUCAGUUUCUGUUGAUGGUGCUGUUGUUGUUGUACUUCGUGAUGAUAUGAGAGUGGUUGUGGGGGUCACCUCUGUAGUUGUGGAAGCUUCAGUUUCUGUUGAUGGUGCUGUUGUUGUUGUUGAAGCAGCAUUUGUUGCUGGUGAUGGUGCAGUUGUACUUGGUGAGGAUAUAAGUGUGGUUGUGGGGAUCACAUCUAUGGUUGUGGAAGCCUCAGUUUCUGUUGAUGGUCCUGUUGUUGUUGAAGCAGCAUUUGUUGCUGUUGAAGGUGCAGUUGUACUUGGUGAGGAUAUGGGAGUGGUUGUGGGGGUCACAUCUAUGGUUGUGGAAGCCUCAGUUUCUGUUGAUGGUGCUGUUGUUGUUGAAGCAGCAUUUGUUGUUGAUGGUGCAGUUGUACUUGGUGAGGAAAUGAGAGUGGAUGUGGGGGUCACCUCUUUGGUUGUGGAAACUUCAGUUUCUGUUGAUGGUGCAGUUUUACUUGGUGAGGAUAUAAGUGUGGUUGUGGGGAUCACAUCUAUGGUUGUGGAAGCCUCAGUUUCUGUUGAUGGUGCUGUUGUUGUUGUACUUGGUGAGGAUAUGAGAGUGGUUGUGGUGGUCACCUCUUUGGUUGUGGAAGCUUCAGUUUCUGUUGAUGGUGCUGUUGUUAAUGAAGCAGCAUUUGUUGCUGUUGAAGGUGCAGUUGUACUUGGUGAGGAUAUAAGUGUGGUUGUGGGGAUCACAUCUCUGGUUGUGGAAACCUCAGUUUCUGUUGAUGGGGCUGUUGUACUUGGUAAGGAUAUGAGAGUGGUUGUGGUAGUCACCUCUAUGGUUGUGGAAGCUUCCGUUUCUGUUGAUGGUGCUGUUGUUGUUGUACUUGGUGAGGAAAUGAGAGUGGUUGUGGUGGUCACCUCUAUGGUUGUGGAAGCUUCAGUUUCUGUUGAUGGUGCUGUUGUUGUUGAAGCAGCAUUUGUUACUGUUGAAAGUGUAGUUGUACUUGGUGAGGAUAUAAGUGUGGUUGUGGGGGUCACCUCUAUGGUUGUGGAAGCGUUGGUUUCUGAUGAUGGUGCUAUUGUUGUACUUGGUGAGGAUAUAUGUGUGGUUGUGGGAAUGACAUCUAUGGUUGUGGAAGCUUCAGUUUCUGUUGAUGGUGCUGUUGUUGUUAAAGCAGCAUUUGUUGCUGUUGAUGGUGCAUUUGUACUUGGUGAGAAUAUGAGAGUGGUUGUGGGGAUCACAUCUGUGGUUGUGAAAGCUCCAGUUUCUGUUGUCAUUGAAAAUGACAUUGCUGUUUGACCUGUAGCUGUUGCUGAAGAUACAUUUUCUGUAGGAGCCUCAGUUGUAGAUGCAAUUGAUAUUGAAUCAGUAGUUGUUGGAGAUGUAGUUGUGAAAGUCGCAGCUAUGCAUGUAUUUUGUUUGAGGAUCAUAGCUGUGGUAAGAGAUGCUUUAGUUCUUAUUAUACAAACUUCACUGGCUGUUGAAAUUGGUGUUGUUGGUGUUAUGGAGGUUGUACCUCCACAAACAAUGCACCAUACAUAUACUGUCAAGAAAAAAAAAAAAAAAAGAAAAAAAAAUCAUUUAAUUGCUGUAUUAACUUUUGACCAUUUGAAAUUUAAAUUACACUAUUAUCAAAUUCCAUGAACAUUUUAAUAGCAUUUGAUUACGUCACAUUUUUAUUUAACAAUUUCUCAACACAAAAUAUCCAGAUUAAGAGUAUACGUACAUAUGGUGAGGAAUACGGUCCAUC
ensembl:lncRNA